CCUGAGAAACCCAAAAGAUCGAAUGGGGAGAUUCAUCGUCAGCGAGCAUGGCACGUGUGCGGUUCGUGAUGCACGGGGGCCCUCGGUCUCUUGGCACACGUCCGUAUGGUUUUUUGCCUCGUUCCGUCGGCGUGCACUUCUCCCCUAGUAGGACGUCGCGACCCGUUGGGUGUCGGUCUACGGCCCGGGCGGGUGACUGUCAUGUGUUAAGCUUAACGGCGCCAUGUGGCAGACCCCCGGUUGUCUGACCAGCUGCUCGGCGGUACUCGCACGGUAUCGAGUCGCAAAUAUUCGAACUGCGUCCGGCCCGCCGCAAGCGGGCCAGUGUUUCCCGGAUGUACGGACCCAGAGCCGUCACCGGGCCUGGUCGGCUGUUGGCCGGCGGUGUCCUUGGACUGGCUCUUUUAUUAUGAUACCGGUCGGCGACGCUACUGCUUUGGGUACUUUCAGGACCCGUCUUGAAACACGGACCAAGGAGUCUAACAUGUGCGCGAGUCAUUGGGAACUCUUAAGCCUAAAGGCGCAAUGAAAGUGAAGGUCGGCCUUGCGCCGACCGAGGGAGGAUGGGCCGCGUCACGAUGCGGUCCCGCACUCCCGGGGCGUCUCGUUCUCAUUGCGAGAA
rnacentral:rRNA from 1 species